UCUUUUCUGAUUGCACUUGGGGUGUCAUUAACAGCAGGUUUAUCAACACAAGGCACCCGUACCAAAGUGUUGCGUGUACACGGGAAAGAAAGAUUGAGCAAACGAAGACCAGAGGAGAAGGAAGAAGAAAGAUUAAGGAGCACAGUCCAACUUCGAGAAAGAAACCCCCUGGAAGUCUUUUCGCAAAGACAAGUAUCAGGCAUGCCUAAGAAUGAAACAAUUCUUGGUGGGGGUGGAAAACGAAGUCAGUUUUUUUCCAAUAAGAAAAAAAAGAUAUGUCCUUAAGGGCCAGCUCCUACACACCAGCGGAGUGCCUCUGUCCGAUAAGGAGGCGAAUGAGGAGUAAGGAGAACAUGUUUCGUAAAGUGCUGCCAUCGUUAAAUCAGGCCGAUACAAAGCACAGAGCAUGGAGAGAGACCAGAAAUGAAAAAUUAGAAAUGGAUAGCCAAUAGAGGACACAGGGACAGGA